GCCGAGAUGGCGGAAUCGGUAGACGCAGCGGACUCAAAAUCCGCCGAUGGUGACAUCGUGGGGGUUCGAUUCCCCCUCUCGGCACCA
rnacentral:tRNA from 4 species